UUAGCUACAGAACAUCAAAAGCUCAAGGAAGGCUACAAGGUUCUAUAUGCAUAUAACGGCUGAAAUAUCAUGGCAUUCAAUUGAUAUUUUUUUAGGUACCGAAGCCAACUUUCGAGAUGAGAGAUUUUACCAUUUAUGCUAAAAAAGUACAUAAAUUUACACAAUUCAUUGUCUCCAAUCCCACAGAACUCCAGUAACUCAAGCAACAACUAUUGAAUAAGCUACAAGUUAAAAGAUCAACUGACAUUAGAGUUCAGAUAACAAGUCAGGAAAGAAGAGGGAGUUGAUACAUGUCAAAAUCAAGAAACAGCUGAAGGAAACGACAACAGCCAGCCAACAAGGCUUGAUCUCAUCAGCAGCAAAUGGUGCAUCUAACCAAUCCAUUUUCGUUGCGCUCAGGGCACCUAAUAGUAUGCAUUUCAUCACUAUCUCCAUCAUUGAAGACCUUGCAACUUCCAUUGCAAUUGAAGCAAACAAAGAAACUUUUGUUGCCACAGCCAGCACAAGGGCUAUUGGAGAGUACUUAAUGGAGCUUUUUUGGCUUCCCUUGCUUGUGCAAGCUAACCACUUCAUCGGCUUCCCCUAUGUACCUUCCCUUCUCUUGAUGAAAAGCCUUGGAGGGAUCACUCUUCCACACAAUAUCCUCCAUAGUUCAUCCCUAUAUUCCAAGUGCAUCGAAACAUCUCUUUCGUAGAACUCAACUUUGAAACUCUCUAACAAAAACAGAUACUUCUCAAACUUCUUGUGUAUAGAAUUAUAAAGUCGUGUCGUCCAGCAGAACAUUUCUCUUCAAAAUGUGAAAGAGAUGGAUAUUCUUCAGUACCCUUCUCAGCUUCGUUAGCUGUAUAAUACUAUCUCUGAGGAGACUGGAGACUCCAAAUUAUCUACGGCAGGCGCUUGUUACUGAACCCUGUAAAAGGUGUAAGUUUCUCCUUGUUGCAAAAAUGGAGUUCCCAUUCAUGUUGUUUAUCUUUUGAUCUGUGAAAUGUUCGGCUUCUGGGAGAUUUUUUUAUUUUGUAAUCUUCAUGCAUGUAAUCUGAUGGAAUUUGUAGGUUCUGAUUGCAGAACUUGUCUGGGGAGUUCAGCAUGUGAUCAGAAGAAGCAUUUGAUCAGUGGAAGCAAUGACUAAGAGGACAUGAGCAGUUACGGAGAUUUCUGUUUUGGUUUCUAAUUGCUGAAAAGUAAUAGAUUGAAAAGCUCUCUGUUUGGGUGGUGUCCACUGUGCCUCCCCACCCCUUUUAGUGCACUGACCCUUUACCAACAGUUUUUGAUGCCUUAUCGAGGUAUGAAGGGCAAGGCCUGAAAGAGGGUGUGCUUUGUCAUUUCAAAACAAUUGAAUGACUGAAGAUACCCCCUUAGUGAUUUUCUCAGCAGAGAUUAAUGCCCUUGAUACCGUGAGGAGGCAGAGUUUGAUUUGUGUAGUGGAACCAAUGGAGUGGUCUCCGAGCUGAGCUGAAUCAAUGCAGACAAGGUGCGUGCACAAGGUCAAGGUUCAAUACCAAGUAUGAAAAAGCAGCUUUCAACACUAGUGGACUUUCCCCUUACCACCUAUUUAUUUACUUUAUUUUAUAUAAGCUCGAUAGAUGAGACCUUUGCGAC